rnacentral:misc_RNA from 1 species
AGUCGUAACAAGGUUUCCGUAGGUGAACCUGCGGAAGGAUCAUUAACACGUAUCCAAACGUUCAAACCCCCCCCCGUGAACCUUCAUCCUGCUCUUGUAACCCGCUUCGCAAUCUCUGAUAAAUCAUAGCCCGGAAAGUUGUAGUGAUUCAGAGACCUCUGGCUACGUGCGAACAUUGGAACAGUGCAAGGAUAGCGCUUCUACGAUUCCUGUAGACCGUACACUCGGGCAGGAGCUUUGCCAAAGGGUCCCCAUGUCCCCUAAUAACCCCACAGUUUAAUGUGAAGCUCAAUGUAAUACAUUGGGUAAAAAACCCGAACAACUGUUAACAAUGGAUAUCUUGGUUCUC